AUUGAACGCUGGCGGCAGGCCUAACACAUGCAAGUCGAGCGAGCGGCGGACGGGUGAGUAAUGUCUGGGAAACUGCCUGAUGGAGGGGGAUAACUACUGGAAACGGUAGCUAAUACCGCAUACCAUCAGAUGUGCCCAGAUGGGAUUAGCUAGUCGGUGGGGUAACGGCUCACCUAGGCGACGAUCGCUAGCGGGUCUGAGAGGAUGACCAGCCACACGGGAACUGAGACACGGUCCAAACACCUACGGGGGGCGGCAGGGGGGAAUAUUGCACAAUGGGGGCAAGCCGGAUGCAGCCAUGCCGCGUAUGUGAAGAAGGCCUUCGGGUUGUAAAGCACUUUCCGCGGGGAGGCGUUACCCGCAGAAGAAGCACCGGCUAACUCCGUGCCAGCAGCCGCGGUAAUAC
rnacentral:rRNA from 1 species